rnacentral:rRNA from 1 species
CAGUCGCCGCGGGAAUACAGAGGGUGCGAGCGUUAAUCGGAUUUACUGGGCGUAAAGCGUGCGUAGGCGGCUUCUUAAGUCGGAUGUGAAAUCCCUGAGCUUAACUUAGGAAUUGCAUUCGAUACUGGUUAGCUAGAGUGUGGGAGAGGAUGGUAGAAUUCCAGGUGUAGCGGUGAAAUGCGUAGAGAUCUGGAGGAAUACCGAUGGCGAAGGCAGCCAUCUGGCCUAACACUGACGCUGAGGUACGAAAGCAUGGGGAGCAAACAGGAUUAGAUACCCCGGUAGUCCCUGUCUCUUAUAC